GGCCUCCAUCAUUCUGCAGCAUUGAAGGUCCCCAAGAACACAGUGGUCUCCAUCAUUCUGCAGCAUUGAAGGUCCCCAAGAACACAGUGGUCUCCAUCAUUCUGCAGCAUUGAAGGUCCCCAAGAACACAGUGGCCUCCAUCAUUCUGCAGCAUUGAAGGUCCCCAAGAACACAGUGGUCUCCAUCAUUCUGCAGCAUUGAAGGUCCCCAAGAACACAGUGGCCUCCAUCAUUCUGCAGCAUUGAAGGUCCCCAAGAACACAGUGGCCUCCAUCAUUCUGCAGCAUUGAAGGUCCCCAAGAACACAGUGGUCUCCAUCAUUCUGCAGCAUUGAAGGUCCCCAAGAACACAGUGGCCUCCAUCAUUCUGCAGCAUUGAAGGUCCCCAAGAACACAGUGGUCUCCAUCAUUCUGCAGCAUUGAAGGUCCCCAAGAACACAGUGGUCUCCAUCAUUCUGCAGCAUUGAAGGUCCCCAAGAACACAGUGGCCUCCAUCAUUCUGCAGCAUUGAAGGUCCCCAAGAACACAGUGGCCUCCAUCAUUCUGCAGCAUUGAAGGUCCCCAAGAACACAGUGGUCUCCAUCAUUCUGCAGCAUUGAAGGUCCCCAAGAACACAGUGGCCUCCAUCAUUCUGCAGCAUUGAAGGUCCCCAAGAACACAGUGGCCUCCAUCAUUCUGCAGCAUUGAAGGUCCCCAAGAACACAGUGGUCUCCAUCAUUCUGCAGCAUUGAAGGUCCCCAAGAACACAGUGGUCUCCAUCAUUCUGCAGCAUUGAAGGUCCCCAAGAACACAGUGGUCUCCAUCAUUCUGCAGCAUUGAAGGUCCCCAAGAACACAGUGGCCUCCAUCAUUCUGCAGCAUUGAAGGUCCCCAAGAACACAGUGGUCUCCAUCAUUCUGCAGCAUUGAAGGUCCCCAAGAACACAGUGGCCUCCAUCAUUCUGCAGCAUUGAAGGUCCCCAAGAACACAGUGGUCUCCAUCAUUCUGCAGCAUUGAAGGUCCCCAAGAACACAGUGGCCUCCAUCAUUCUGCAGCAUUGAAGGUCCCCAAGAACACAGUGGCCUCCAUCAUUCUGCAGCAUUAAAGGUCCCCAAGAACACAGUGGCCUCCAUCAUUCUGCAGCAUUAAAGGUCCCCAAGAACACAGUGGCCUCCAUCAUUCUGCAGCAUUGAAGGUCCCCAAGAACACAGUGGUCUCCAUCAUUCUGCAGCAUUGAAGGUCCCCAAGAACACAGUGG